ACAGCUGUGGACGGACCGGUCCUCGGAACAGCCCCACACCAGUUCAGCGUUUCCCCCUCAAGCUACCUGCUUUCAUUAAACGGAGAAGCGUUUGGGUUAAGACCGUUUCUUUUCCAUGUUCAAAGGGCCUGUUGGUGAGAUGCAGGAGAGACUGGCUUGGAUGGACAAGUCUACCCUGAGUUUUGUAAUGUGGAUUGCAACGUGACUGAGGAUGAGGAAGGCUCGAGUGUAAUGAUCCCUGGCAUGCCACCCUGAUCCCUGAUGAGCAAGCUCUCCCUUCUCAUCACUACAGGCGGUCUCAAGUUUACACAGUUACGAGUCACAGGUUUGCGAUAACCUUGACUGAAAAAAGCACGUAUGGGCUUUGAACUGAGAGUCACAAAUUCUGGUUCUUGAGGCUUGGCUCUCAACGCCCUUUGCUGUGAUGUUGUUGUUGAAGCUCACAUAAAGUCAGGACCUUUAUGCCUGUUCUAGAUCCACCUGCUGGGACUCAAGGAAAUGGGACCUGAGAGUCUGGUGAUACAAAUGAGGUCAUAUGGGUAAGGAGAUGCACUCGCUUGAAGAGGAAGAUUAAAGUUGGACACCUGA
rnacentral:lncRNA from 1 species